GAUGAACGCUGGCGGCGUGCCUAAUACAUGCAAGUCGAGCGAACGGACGAGAAGCUUGCUUCUCUGAUGUUAGCGGCGGACGGGUGAGUAACACGUGGAUAACCUACCUAUAAGACUGGGAUAACUUCGGGAAACCGGAGCUAAUACCGGAUAAUAUUUUGAACCGCAUGGUUCAAAAGUGAAAGACGGUCUUGCUGUCACUUAUAGAUGGAUCCGCGCUGCAUUAGCUAGUUGGUAAGGUAACGGCUUACCAAGGCAACGAUGCAUAGCCGACCUGAGAGGGUGAUCGGCCACACUGGAACUGAGACACGGUCCAGACUCCUACGGGAGGCAGCAGUAGGGAAUCUUCCGCAAUGGGCGAAAGCCUGACGGAGCAACGCCGCGUGAGUGAUGAAGGUCUUCGGAUCGUAAAACUCUGUUAUUAGGGAAGAACAUAUGUGUAAGUAACUGUGCACAUCUUGACGGUACCUAAUCAGAAAGCCACGGCUAACUACGUGCCAGCAGCCGCGGUAAUACGUAGGUGGCAAGCGUUAUCCGGGAUUAUUGGGCGUAAAGCGCGCGUAGGCGGUUUUUUAAGUCUGAUGUGAAAGCCCACGGCUCAACCGUGGAGGGUCAUUGGAAACUGGAAAACUUGAGUGCAGAAGAGGAAAGUGGAAUUCCAUGUGUAGCGGUGAAAUGCGCAGAGAUAUGGAGGAACACCAGUGGCGAAGGAGACUUUCUGGUCUGUAACUGACGCUGAUGUGCGAAAGCGUGGGGAUCAAACAGGAUUAGAUACCCUGGUAGUCCACGCCGUAAACGAUGAGUGCUAAGUGUUAGGGGGUUUCCGCCCCUUAGUGCUGCAGCUAACGCAUUAAGCACUCCGCCUGGGGAGUACGACCGCAAGGUUGAAACUCAAAGGAAUUGACGGGGACCCGCACAAGCGGUGGAGCAUGUGGUUUAAUUCGAAGCAACGCGAAGAACCUUACCAAAUCUUGACAUCCUUUGACAACUCUAGAGAUAGAGCCUUCCCCUUCGGGGGACAAAGUGACAGGUGGUGCAUGGUUGUCGUCAGCUCGUGUCGUGAGAUGUUGGGUUAAGUCCCGCAACGAGCGCAACCCUUAAGCUUAGUUGCCAUCAUUAAGUUGGGCACUCUAAGUUGACUGCCGGUGACAAACCGGAGGAAGGUGGGGAUGACGUCAAAUCAUCAUGCCCCUUAUGAUUUGGGCUACACACGUGCUACAAUGGACAAUACAAAGGGCAGCGAAACCGCGAGGUCAAGCAAAUCCCAUAAAGUUGUUCUCAGUUCGGAUUGUAGUCUGCAACUCGACUACAUGAAGCUGGAAUCGCUAGUAAUCGUAGAUCAGCAUGCUACGGUGAAUACGUUCCCGGGUCU
rnacentral:rRNA from 1 species